rnacentral:rRNA from 1 species
GAUGAACGCUGGCGGCGUGCCUAAUACAUGCAAGUCGAGCGAACGGACGAGAAGCUUGCUUCUCUGAUGUUAGCGGCGGACGGGUGAGUAACACGUGGAUAACCUACCUAUAAGACUGGGAUAACUUCGGGAAACCGGAGCUAAUACCGGAUAAUAUUUUGAACCGCAUGGUUCAAAAGUGAAAGACGGUCUUGCUGUCACUUAUAGAUGGAUCCGCGCUGCAUUAGCUAGUUGGUAAGGUAACGGCUUACCAAGGCAACGAUGCAUAGCCGACCUGAGAGGGUGAUCGGCCACACUGGAACUGAGACACGGUCCAGACUCCUACGGGAGGCAGCAGUAGGGAAUCUUCCGCAAUGGGCGAAAGCCUGACGGAGCAACGCCGCGUGAGUGAUGAAGGUCUUCGGAUCGUAAAACGCUGUUAUUAGGGAAGAACAUAUGUGUAAGUAACUGUGCACAUCUUGACGGUACCGAAUCAGAAAGCCACGGCUAACUACGU